rnacentral:rRNA from 1 species
GACGAACGCUGGCGGCGUGCCUAAUACAUGCAAGUUGAGCGAUGAAGACUGGUGCUUGCACCAAUUUGAAGAGCAGCGAACGGGUGAGUAACGCGUGGGGAAUCUGCCUUUGAGCGGGGGACAACAUUUGGAAACGAAUGCUAAUACCGCAUAACAACUUUAAACAUAAGUUUUAAGUUUGAAAGAUGCAAUUGCAUCACUCAAAGAUGAUCCCGCGUUGUAUUAGCUAGUUGGUGAGGUAAAGGCUCACCAAGGCGAUGAUACAUAGCCGACCUGAGAGGGUGCGCGGCCACGUUGGGACUGAGACACGGCCCAAACUCCUACGGGAGGCAGCAGUAGGGAAUCUUCGGCAAUGGACGAAAGUCUGACCGAGCAACGCCGCGUGAGGGAAGAAGGUUUUCGGAUCGUAAAACUCUGUUGGUAGAGAAGGACGUUGGUGAGAGUGGAAAGCUCAUCAAGUGACGGUAACUACCCAGAAAGGGACGGCUAACUACGUG